rnacentral:lncRNA from 12 species
GUUAUUUAAAGCUUUUGUUUUUAAAAUCUUGAACAGAAUUCACACUAAGGUUAAUCCCAAUGGAUUAAUGGAGCUGUUUCCUAAUGGAUGAGCUUUUCAUAUUAGUUGGAUGAAUGCCAUAGACUCUUUUUUUCUUGGUUUGAUACUAUUUUGAAAUAUCAACAUUUCUUUUUGUCUCAGAAAUGUUCUGAGAAUGGACCCCGUUCUGAGGAUGGAUUCCCAUUUGGAAGAAGAGAGGAGAGAGUGUUCUGCGCUCACUGCACUGAAAGUACGUUUGGUUCACAGAAAUACAGAGAAAAAUAGAAGAUGUGAACGUUGAUAUUCAACAGCUGACAUCUGAGAUUUCCUCUGAAAAGGAAUACCAUGUACAGAGUGCCCUAUAAAGAACCAAUAAAUGUUGUAAUGUGUUUUGGAAUAUUAGAUCC